GUGUAACGACCCGAAUUUUUGGUCAGGAAUUUUGUUAGCCGGCUAAGGUCCAAGCAAUACCAAAGACCCAAGUGUUUGCCUAUAAAUACCCAAUCCAGCUUUGUUUUCUCAGAAACAAGAAAAAGAAAUAAGAAAGUUAGAAAAGAGAGAGAGAGUUCAAGAGAAGGAAUGAGAAAUCUUGCAAUUGAGCCACCAGGAGUCAUCGCCGGAGCCACCGCACGCCAAGACCACGUCAAGCUCAUCACCACCGUUCGUUGUAGUCGACGAAUCCAUAGCCACCAGAAUCGUCGCAAUCGGAGCUCGGACGAAGCCGUACGAGCCCUCCAAAGUUUUGCCGGAAAUCGCCCUGCCACCACCGGACCACCGUUCUCCGCCGCCGGACCACCGCUGAUCCGCCGCCGGUCCGCCACUUCUCCGCCGCCGGACUGCCAUCGCCGCCGAUUUGGAGUCUAUUUGAUCAGUUGGAGUUCAUAGAUAUCACUUCUCUUCAUUUGCUAAGGUGAGACCGAUGAGCAGGAGUAAUCAUAUCGGACUGGUGCUACUAUUUGGGCUCGUGGGCUUUAUCGUUUUAUCGUUUUAUCUUUUAUCGUUAUUGGGCCUUUAGGCCUUUGGACUUAUAUCGUUUCCGCUACUUCCUAUUUUCAGACCUUCACGCUUAUGUUGUUAUUUAUAUUUCGGAUGUUUUUUUCGGAUUUGACUUUAUGGUAUGACGUGGAUUUUAUUAUCCGUAUUAUUAUUAUUAUUUUCCGCUGCGCUAUUAUUUUAUCGUUACUAUUUAUUUAUUAUUAUUUUAAUUCCGCAAUUAUAUUCGCCAGACGCGGUCGCGUCAGUUUUGGUAUCAGAGCCGUGUUCCGUCCCGGCUCCGACCCGGGAUGGCGAUCUUUGGAGACUCGGUUUUUAUUCGGUUUUAAAUCGGUUUUAAAUGGUUCUGGGGAUUUGGGAAUUUUAAAGUGAAAAUGAAUAGCACCCUUCCGUUCGGUAUCGCUCCUCUAACCCAAUUUGUCUUUAUGUCGAUGAGUAAAGUCAUCGUCAUCCGUUCUCAAAUUAACAUGGUUCUAGCCAUAUGUUCAACAGAUGGAUGGUUUCAUAGUUUGCGAGAUUGCUUAGGUGCUUAUCAGACGAGUUUGGAGAUUGUCCACGAGUGGAUAUGUGACAUUCUGCCACUACCCUAACUUCAAGCCAUUGUUUCACGAGUUUUUGUUACGUGAGUUUUAUGUGAUGUGAGGUUUGAGCCAUUGGUUGGCAUGUGUUGUGUAUGAGUACGAGUAUUGUGAUUAUUUUGGAGGGGUUUAUAAACUCGUGGAGAUCGCUUUUGAAUUAGGGUGCGGCAACUUGCGUUGUGUUAAUAUUGGAGCUACACUUGCCAUGCUUGCCAGUUUUUGACUGUGUUUAUCAUUUCAGAGAUGUGACAGUUUGAAAAACUGGCAUAGGACAUUGGGAGCUAAUUAUAUUCAUCGGAGUUGUACUAGUUGUACAUAGAGAGGUAGAGUUAUUCAAGAAUCGUCAGAAUUGGAGCUGAGUUUUAUGAUAUCUUUCUUAAGGUGGAUUGGUUAUCAUGGUAUCAAAUACUGUUGAUUUGUCAGAGGGCAAGAGUUCAGAUUCUUAGAGUAGAGGUUGUUAUUAUUGCUUUAUGCUGAAGAGUUAUUGAUAGAAAGGCAGAUGGAUUUUGGCGACCAUUUCGAUGGUUAAGGAUGAUGGACGACAUUAGUUGCAUGACCUUCUAGUUAUUGCAGAAUAUAGGGAUGUAUUUGAGGUUUUGUAAGGCCAUCACUUGAUAGAGGAAACGAUUUUUGCGAUUGAGUUUGAAACAUAAGCCAUAAAUUUAUUGAGUGCCUAUCGGAGUUGUUCUUAGAUUGAUUAUGCAGUAUUUGCGUGUAGAUGCACUAGCAUGGUGCAAAGGAGUACGAUGGAGUCACAUUAGACAUGAUGGGGUUACCAUUGCAGAUUUUAUCCAAGAGUCGACAUAAAGUACUUUGCAAAGGAAGUUAUGGAUAGGAAGAAGAGAGCCAUCAAGCAUGUAAACCAGGGAACCAUGAUUAUCACGGGAUAUGAGAUUGAUAUCAGUAGGCUUUGAAGAUUUUCUAGAGGUGGCAUUUCAGCAGGAGGACUGAUUAGAGAAUUUUGGAUGAGAUGUGAGUAGAGUUUCACACCAGAUGUUGUUACGUCAAUUACUGCUGAUUGAAAGAUUUUGUGGAUAAAGCUACUCAUCAGGAGGUAAGUCUAGCAGGGAGACAAGAACUUCUUUUAGCAGAUUAGACUAAAUCUAGAAGGGCAUCAUAGUCCCAGAAGUGAGCAGAAAGCUAGUAUGGGAAACCAAGUUAUCCCCGUUGCCAUCACCGUCAUAGAGAGAAGUGUACUAAGUAUUUAUGUUUGUCGUCAGCUUGGACAUAUCUCAGGGCUAAUCAUCCUACGCGCGACUUAGAGUUAGCAACAAUUGUAUUUGCAUUAAAGUUUGGAGACGGUAAUUGUGCGAAAAGGAAGUUGAGGCUCAUUGGAAUCAUCAGUAUCUAAAAUAUAGUUUCACUCAUUAAAACUUAUACUUUGGACAGUACAUAUAAUUUGAGUUGGUAACAGUCUACAGAUUGGAUAUCACGUGUCAUUUGGUAAGGUCAACCAAGUGGCAAAUGCCUUGAUUAGGCACAUGAGCAAUGUUUUAGGAAACAAGAAGGUUCAAGAACUUACUGGAACACUUGCAAGUUCGGGGAUUAUGUGCAUUUCAGCAGAGGAGGAUACAACUCGUUUUCAAGCACUAGACAUGCAGAUUUACUGUGGAGAGUACACCAAGCACAGGUUAGCGACAUGGAUUUAAUUAAGCAGAUCAGGUUGAGAGUUUUGGAUAUCAUACAGUUUCGAUCAUGAUGUGUUUGUAUCGAAACAAAGUUUAUGUAUUGGGCGAUAAGCUGUUAAGAAGAAGGAUCUUACUACAAACACAUCACUCGCGUUUCUUUACCCACCCGAAUAUCGCCGAAGGGAGCAAAGAUAUGAAGCAUUAUUAUCCUUGGCAGGUCUGAAAGAAGUUGUAGCUACAUUUCAUCGAAGAGUCUGGCGUGUCAGAUGGUUAUGUUGAGGAUCAGAUGCAUGUCAUGUUAUUGUUGAGCUUGUUUUCGCCAGAGUGGAAAUGAGGUUUGGUGAUCAUGUGGAUAAACUCACCAAGUAAGCUCAUUUCUUAGUAACUAAGGAGACAUACAUAAAUGAUCAGUUGUGUUACAUGGAGUUCUCGCCAGCUUUGUAUCAGAUCGGGAAGCAAGGUUUAUGUCUGCAUUUUGGAGAGUUUCUCAGAAGGCGAUUAGAACAGUGUUUAAUUGAGCACGAUUUAUCACCCGCAGAUAGUCAGCCAGACAAAAAAGACCAUUCAAACUUUAGUGGAAUUGCUCGGGGCUUGUGUCAUACAGUGGGAAGAAAGCUUGAGGACAUCCACCUCUCGCACAUUCUGGUUACAAUGACAGCUAUCAGUUGAGUAUUAGGUGGACACCAUAUGAGACUCUUUAUGGUAAGCCUCACUAUACACCACUUUUUGGACAAAAGUGGGGGAGCAACAAGUUCUAGGACCAUCAAUGGUUCAAAGGAGAGUAAAGCAAAUGGACAUGCUCAAAGUGCGAUUUAAGGAAGCUCAUGACUGUCAAAAGAGUUAUGCAAUUAAACGCUGUGAGGAUUUGGAGUUUCAGGUCGACAAUCGAUUACAACUAAAAAUCAGGAAAUUUCAAGGAUGAUCUAAGAUUCGGAAGUUAAAAAGAUUAAACCGAGGUAUUCAAGACCAUAUACUAUUGUGGAGCGGAUUGGAACAGUUGAUUAAAGAUUGGAUUUAUCAGCAGAGAUAUCAGACUUCUAAGACGUGUUCAAUGUGUUUGCUUUGAAGAAAAAUCGUGAGAGAGCCAGAGCUUAUUUUGUAGUAGCCGCCAGGUGACUUCAGAGAGAAUGUUUGCAACUUAUCAGCCAGUGGAGAUUAUUGAUCGUCAAGUAAAAGCAUUUCAGGGAAUACCGACCAUUUUUGUCAGAAGUCGUUGAAAAAGAGUUGGGAUUCAGUAGGAAGCCUCAGAGACAUAUCAGAUUGAUUAUUCAGAUGUUUGUUAUAUUGAUAUUGGGGCAGUCAACAGAUGACUCGAAUUCGAGGACGAAUUCCUUAUUAGUGGGGGAGAAUUGUAACGACCCGAAUUUUUGGUCAGGAAUUUUGUUAGCCGGCUAAGGUCCAAGCAAUACCAAAGACCCAAGUGUUUGCCUAUAAAUACCCAAUCCAGCUUUGUUUUCUCAGAAACAAGAAAAAGAAAUAAGAAAGUUAGAAAAGAGAGAGAGAGUUCAAGAGAAGGAAUGAGAAAUCUUGCAAUUGAGCCACCAGGAGUCAUCGCCGGAGCCACCGCACGCCAAGACCACGUCAAGCUCAUCACCACCGUUCGUUGUAGUCGCCACCAGAAUCGUCGCAAUCGGAGCUCGGACGAAGCCGUACGAGCCCUCCAAAGUUUUGCCGGAAAUCGCCCUGCCACCACCGGACCACCGUUCUCCGCCGCCGGACCACCGCUGAUCCGCCGCCGGUCCGCCACUUCUCCGCCGCCGGACUGCCAUCGCCGCCGAUUUGGAGUCUAUUUGAUCAGUUGGAGUUCAUAGAUAUCACUUCUCUUCAUUUGCUAAGGUGAGACCGAUGAGCAGGAGUAAUCAUAUCGGACUGGUGCUACUAUUUGGGCUCGUGGGCUUUAUCGUUUUAUCGUUUUAUCUUUUAUCGUUAUUGGGCCUUUAGGCCUUUGGACUUAUAUCGUUUCCGCUACUUCCUAUUUUCAGACCUUCACGCUUAUGUUGUUAUUUAUAUUUCGGAUGUUUUUUUUCGGAUUUGACUUUAUGGUAUGACGUGGAUUUUAUUAUCCGUAUUAUUAUUAUUAUUUUCCGCUG